AUGGCUCUAGUACAUCAGAAAUCUGCAGAGUGUACUCUGGCCGAAUUGGAUUUAUUUUCAGCACCUAUGACGCAGCUGUCUAUCGAUGAAAAAACCUACACGGAAAUUUCUCCCCUGUCAGCCAUCACCGACGGGGGACCCAUUGAGUUUUUCAUCCCCGGAGACGGGGACCGGUAUCUGGAUCUGAACGACACUCUGUUGCAUCUCCGUGUAAAAAUCACCAACGCUAACGGAUCGAACCUAGCUAAUGACGCAGCGGUGGGUCUUAUCAAUUAUCCUCUAAAUACAAUUUUCAGUCAAUGCGACGUGACCCUGGGGGAUCGACUCAUCUCUCAGUCGAGCGCUACCCACCCCUAUCGCUGCAUGAUUGAGACCCUGCUCAACUUUUCACCGGACACGCUCUCCAGUCAGUUUACCGGGGGUCUUUUUUACAAAGAUACCGCCGGGUCAGUGGACUCUAUCGUGCUCGUGAACGGUCCAAAUAAAGGGUUAACGAGGAGAGCCGCGUCCACAGCCCGUUCCAGAGAAGUACACCUGCUCGGUCCUCUCCACGGGGACAUCUUUUUCUGCGAGAGACUAUUGCUCAACUCUGUCGAUUUGAGAAUUAAACUGAUGCGAGCCAACGAUGCUUUCUGCCUCAUGGGGGCGCGUGACUCUGCUUUUAGCCUAAAAGUACUGGGGGCUUCCCUAUUUGUUAAAAAAGUAGCCGUGUCCCCUGCAGUCAGGUUAGGUCACGCCGCCGCCUUAAUGAAGGGCAACGCUCUCUACCCCCUUUCACGCGUUAAUGUGAAAACUUACUCUAUUCCGGCAAACUCUAGGGUUUGCAACCAGGAGAAUCUGUUUCUGGGUAGCAUACCAAAGUACGUGGUUCUGGGUAUGGUACACCACGAGGCUUUCACAGGAAGACGAGACCUGUCGCCUUUUAAUUUCAGACACUAUGACAUCGAAUACCUGGCUCUCUGUCAGGACGGCCGGCAAGUUCCGGCUAAAGCUUUCCAACCCGAUUUUAACAACGGGGUGUCCGUCAGAGAAUUCUACAACAUGUUCCUGGCUACCGGGAGACAUCUCAAAGAUUUACCCCUGAGUAUCAGCCGUGAUGACUUUAAUGACGGCUACUCUCUGUUUGCGUUUAAUCUCAAUCCGAGCGAUGACAACGACGCACUGUCUACCGUCUCAAACGGAAACCUCAGGCUGGAGUUGAGAUUUAGAACACCCCUG
rnacentral:lncRNA from 1 species